GUACAGCCUGCUGUAACGCAAAAAAUAUACAGGGUGAUUUAAAAGUCUCCAUACAUAGGAAAAAUUUAUUCCUUUUAUAAAAACAGUUUAUAAGAUCCCCCUGAUCCCCUGAUCUGACCCCUCUUGAUUUCUAUCUUUGGGGGCAUUUGAAAGGCACGGUGUAUCGCAGAAAGAUAAAAGACAUAAAUCAUUUGAAGGAACGCAUCACCAACUCCUUUGCACACGUAUCACCAGAUGUGCUAUUACGAGUUCACAGUGAGUGGGGGUUAAACAUAUUGUAAUGUGUAUUCGAAACAGUGGUAACCAUAUAGAGCCUGUUAAAUAAUAAUAAAAAACUGUUCUUAUAAACUGCUUCUUAUAAAAAGAUAAAUUACUCCUAUGUAUGGCGACUUUUGAAUCACCC